AGUGCAGUCUUCGCUCGGCGUACUGAUUUUGCACUGCAGAGAAGGAGAGAGAAUGGAGGAGGGAGAAGACAAAAGCAAGAAAAAGCAAUGCAGAUUCUGGAGUUGGGUGAUCAUACCAGUGAUUUUCAGACUGAUUUUGAUUUAUUUCCCCAAAAAUCUCAACUUAGCUUCUCGCCCCGAAGUCUCCACUCCUCUUACCAGUCUUCGUCGCUUGGCCGAAGGUUACUGGUUGAAGCAGUCAUCGAUAUCUCCAUAUGCAGGAUCAAUGUAUCAUGGUUCACCUUUGUUGCUGUCAGUUCUUGGGCCGCUUACUGUUAAAAGAAUUGAAGGACAACCUAGUCAUCUUUUAUGCAGUUUAGUUUUUGUGAUUGCAGAUAUUUUCAGUGCAAUGCUUCUUCGCGCUAUUGGACUGAAUCUUCAGAAAGCCCAUAGUCAGGGUUUAAAAUUACUGGGCCUUCUUAAGCCAUCAAAUACUUCUGAGAUCCUGCCCCCCGGAGAUAUUGCUGCACUUGUUUACUUGUGGAAUCCUUUCACAGUAGUUUCUUGUGUGGGCAUGUCAACUUCCCCAGUUGAAAAUCUAGUGGUCAUUUUGUCUGUUUAUGGAGCAUGCACAAGACUAGUUCCAUUGGCUGCUUUUGGAUGGGUCAUGGCAACACAUUUGUCUCUUUAUCCUGCAGUUCUCAUAAUUCCAGUGAUUAUUUUGUUGGGAUAUGGUCCAGAUGGUCCUCCUAGAAAGUUGUUCCUGCAGAGACAAGGUAAAAAUGGAGAUAAUCCGUCAACUGAGGUCUGUGAUCAGCAACACAGAUUGUUAAACCAAACAAAUCUACCUGUUAUUUUCUCAUGGAGACCAGUCAUGCAUUUUAUACUCUGGGCCUCAGCAUGGUCAGCAUAUGUGCUGGUGCUAUGUGACAUAUCUUUGCAGCAGUAUGGAGGUCUGGCAGAGAUGUUCAAAAGGACGUAUGGGUUCAUUCUCACUAUUGAAGAUCUGUCACCAAAUGUAGGCGUUUUGUGGUACUUCUUUGCUGAAGUUUUCGAUUUUUUCAGAAGCUUUUUUCUGAUAGUUUUCCAUGUAAAUAUUCUGUUCAUGAUUUUUCCAUUAGCAACACGGUUAAAUCAUCGGCCCUGCUUCCUGGCUUUUGCGUACAUGGCAAUUACUUCUGUUCUGAAAUCUUACCCUUCAGUUGGAGAUUCAGCUCUGUACUUGGGUUUGUUGGCGUUGUUUGUUAAUGAGUUAGCAGACAUGCAGUUCUCUUUCUUCCUCUUCUGUGGAUAUGUUGGGGUUUCGCUCCUCAGUCCUCUGAUGCACAACUUGUGGAUAUGGAGGGGUACUGGCAAUGCAAACUUUUAUUUUGCUACUGCUAUCGCCUAUGCAUGCUUUCAGAUUGUUUUGGUGGUGGAGAGUGUCAGUGCCAUGCUCAACUGUGACAGAAUGCUGAGAAAGCGAUAUAUUGGGAAGCCUCAAGAGGGAAAAUCUUGAAAUCUUGCAACCUUGUUAAGCACGUUCCUGCUCAUUAACCUUCUGUUGAGAAGUCAGCAGUGUAACCAACUACAAUAUGCCCUUUGUCUUCUUGAACAAUGGCUUGCAGCCAUUGUAAGAGCAUCACUGCUGACAUCAUCCGUUCGCUUCUUUGCUUAAGUAGUCCCAAAAGGUCAACAGUUUCAUAUUGGUUGGUGGGUUAUGAUAAAGCCUCUUACACACGAGGGGCCGGAGCCCCCUUGUUCACCUAUCACCCAAUUUUUAUAUUCAGAGUGCAUUUGGAUAUUAAUAUUUUUGUUCAGCAUAAAUAAAUAGUAUGGUCCUUGAUACCAUGUUUCUGCAACUAACUAGGACACAUGCAAUGG